rnacentral:rRNA from 1 species
CCCUUAGAUGUUCUGGGCCGCACGCGCGCUACACUGAUGCAUUCAACGAGCACCCGCUGGGCCGAGAGGUCCGGCUAAUCUUUGAACGUGCAUCGUGCUGGGGAUAGAUGAUUGCAAUUAUUCAUCUUCAACGAGGAAUUCCUAGUAAACGCAAGUCAUCAGCUUGCAUUGAUUACGUCCCUGCCCUUUGUACACACCGCCCGUCGCACCUACCGAUUGAAUGGUCCGGUGAAAUCUCGGGACGGCGGCUUGGUCGCUUGCGUCCGACUGCUGAAACUUGAUUAAACCAUAUCAUUUAGAGGAAGGUGAAGUCGUAACA